UACGUAGGGUGCAAGCGUUGUCCGGAAUUAUUGGGCGUAAAGAGCUCGUAGGCGGUCUGUUGCGUCGGCUGUGAAAACCCGAGGCUCAACCUCGGGCCUGCAGCCGAUACGGGCAGACUAGAGUUCGGCAGGGGAGACUGGAGUUCCUGGUGUAGCGGUGAAAUGCGCAGAUAUCAGGAGGAACACCAAUAGCGAAGGCAGCUCGCUGGGACGUUACUGACACUGAGGCGCGAAAGCGUGGGGAGCGAACAGG
rnacentral:rRNA from 1 species